rnacentral:lncRNA from 1 species
CACAUUUCUCGGUAGUUAUUUUCGAUUUCCGUGUGAAUCUUUUAUAAAUUUACAUCGUAGCAAUGUAUGCUUUGUAAAGAAAAUGAUAUAGAAACACUUAAACAGAUAAAACAAAUACUGACCUAAUUUUUCAUCCGACAUCUUGGGAUGACCGUGAAUGCAGUUACGGUCAUCAGCUUUACCCCAGUGUGAAUAGAGCAAUCAUUCUCUAUAAUAAUAAGGGGCCCCAAAAAUAAUGUGAAACUUGUCACUGCCGUGCUUUUAACUAAAAAACAGUUGUAUCUAAUUUUCAUAACCUCUGCAGAAAUACUAAAAAAAAUCUAUGUUUAACGAACUUGAUUUAACAGUAUAAGGAUUUUGCACAGUCAGCUCUAUUUCAUCUCUUAUGAGCCAUGGUUCUUUAGUUUUCACCAAUGGUUUUGUCGUUAAGUUUUGAACUGUAUAUUUUUGAAUCUGGCCAAAAGACCAAUAAAUUGAAAUCUUUAUCAUGUAAAGCAUCUGCCAACUUUAAAGCUUUUCCCUAUGUAUCAUGUGUAUUUUUGACGUGUCAUGCUUUUAAUUUCAACAGCUCGUAUCUCAAAUAAAAAAUCGGUUACAUCCUUUUUUUGCCCCUGCAACUGAAUGUCAAAGGGGGGGGGGAUUAUUUUACCACUGUCCGUCUGUCCUUCCGUCCGUCCCAUUAUUGGUAUAUAAUUAUUUGGCAUAACUCCUAUUGUUUGAUUCCUAGGAGGUUUUCACUUUGCUGUCUGUUGAGUAGUUAAGCACGUACACUGCGCUUCAAUAGAAACAAUUCCCUUUUCAAACAAUUUUAUGAGACUACAUGUCCAUUAUGUAUUCCGUGUGCAUUUAAUGGGUUGACAUGUCAUAAAAUGUGUCUAUAUUGUUGUAUGGUCGAUUAAAGCUUGUGUAAUAUGAUUUUUUAAAAUAAAUAUGAAUUCAUAACUACACAAAAGUCAUGGCUCGUACAAGUGUUUCUUACCAAAAAAA